rnacentral:tRNA from 1 species
UCAGUAUGGCAGACUAGUGCAAUUGACUUAAGCUCAAUACAAGAUUUUUUCUACUGAUA